rnacentral:rRNA from 1 species
ACUACGGGUGGCAGCAGUGGGGGAUAUUGCACAAUGGGGGGACCCCUGAUGCAGCGACGCCGCGUGGGUGAAGAAGCGCCUCGGCGCGUAAAGCCCUGUCAGCAGGGAAGAAAAUGACGGUACCUGAAGAAGAAGCCCCGGCUAACUACGUGCCAGCAGCCGCGGUAAUACGUAGGGGGCAAGCGUUAUCCGGAUUUACGGGGUGUAAAGGGGGCGCAGACGGCGAUGCAAGCCAGGAGUGAAAGCCCGGGGCCCAACCCCGGGACUGCUCUUGGAACUGCGUGGCUGGAGUGCAGGAGGGGCAGGCGGAAGUCCUGGUGUAGCGGUGAAAUGCGUAGAUAGCAGGAGGAACACCGGUGGCGAAGGCGGCCUGCUGGACUGCAACUGACGUUGAGGCCCGAAAGCGUGGGGAGCAAACAGGAUUAGAUACCCCUGUAGUC